CCUACGGGCGGCAGCAGUGGGGAAUAUUGGGCAAUGGGCGAAAGCCUGACCCAGCAACGCCGCGUGAAGGAAGAAGGCUUUCGGGUUGUAAACUUCUUUUGACAGGGAAGAGCAGAAGACGGUACCUGUCGAAUAAGCCACGGCUAACUACGUGCCAGCAGCCGCGGUAAUACGUAGGUGGCAAGCGUUGUCCGGAUUUACUGGGUGUAAAGGGCGUGUAGCCGGGCUGACAAGUCAGAUGUGAAAUACGGGGGCACAACCCCCGAACUGCAUUUGAAACUGUUGGUCUUGAGUAUCGGAGAGGCAGGCGGAAUUCCUGGUGUAGCGGUGAAAUGCGUAGAUAUUAGGAGGAACACCAGUGGCGAAGGCGGCCUGCUGGACGACAACUGACGGUGAGGCGCGAAAGCGUGGGGAGCAAACAGGAUUAGAUACCCUUGUAGUC
rnacentral:rRNA from 1 species